AACUUCUUUUUUUUGUUCAAAAUUAACAUUUAAAUGAGUCAAAUAAUUAAUCUUAAUUCCAAAACGUGUUUUUGUCUUACCCUGAUUCACUAUGGUAAGCCUAUUAUGAGCGUUUAUAUUUUAGACCUGUCGGGAUGGUUUUCGCGGGAAUUUGCGUACAUACGUCACUCGCUUCUGCGUGUCUCGUCAUAUCCAUAAAUAGAGGAAAGUUGCUCCGGUUGCAGGGGUGGCAGAGGUUAGUUGUCAUAACGAGCGAGAAAAGCUGACAUUGAGCCGCUAAAUCUUCAACAUCCGGGGAAUCACCCGUUUCAAACAAACACCGAACUGAGGAGAGUCUGUUGGCACGAAGAGAGCUCGACAAAACUCAUAAUAAACCCAGAAUCAACACUGGUUUAGCUUUUCGGAGAUGGCGAGAACUGAUGGAUUUUAAAUGUUGUAUAAGCGACACGGAGAUGAUGGUGUUUUUAUUACUCAACAGAUGAUAGACAGCAGGAAGCAAGGGCCGUGUCUGACGUGCUGAACUUUAGAUCCUGGAAAAUCCCCACAAAGUCUGCGAAACCAAACAUCACGGAGCUCAAGCAGAUGCAUCUGACCUCAUUCCUGUUUAUGCUGCUCAGACUGAACACGCAGUCCCGUUCUUCUGGAAUAUGUGGAUGCAGAUCCUGGGAAUGACUGAUUUGACGAGAUAACACUUAGAAUGUGGCUUAAAAUAGCUGCGGGACGUUUGCUGUUGAGCGGUUGUUGAUGUCAGAUAACACUGCCGUGGGGGAGGCUGGGAUUUGAGACGAGCUAUUCCUGUCCAUCAGCUCCGGGCCACACCGCAACCUCUGAGAAGAUAAGUGCCGUGCUGAAUAAGUGCCAAACUGUUAAACAAGUCUGUCCGCAUUUGUUGACACAACGCCUCUCUUGCCAGCACUUGCAGGCCACGUCCUCCGGCUCCGCAGAGAUACGCAUCUGAACUCUCUCUGUAUCUCUCCCGUCAGGACGAUUGGGGGCCAAACACAAACACCUCCUGAUGCUCAUAUGCCAGGAGAUUGUGAGCUCCAUCCAGCAUCAUCAAAGAUUUUGUGAAUGACAUUAAUGUAUGAUAUUGGGCAUGGAAAACAAGACUUACAUCAUCAUGUGGGUGUUGGACAUGAGAAUUUGAGCAGCUCAAACAUGACAGGAAUGAACACGCCAUGUUGAGUGGAAUGCCUGCGGUCAUGUUGUCAACAUACUGGGACAUUCUGUACAAAUUCACUGAUACAAUCCAGCCACAGGCUGGACUUGACGGAUCUCUCAUCUGGGUAAACGGGAGAAAGAAAGAGACGCUGGUGUGUUUGUUUGCAGAAAAACGCUGUGGAAAAUGCUAAUGGAAGACAAACCAUAGAGGCAUUAGUCCAGACACAGACAGCAGGAUAAUAAGAUUAAGAAGAGAGCUAUAGAAAGGAAGGCUCAUAGAUGUGGUGUGACGGGUCGUCAUGGAGCAGGUGGCUCUCCUCUGAUGCCUACACCUCCCAUCCACCCUUGGGGCACUGAAUGCACGGCUGAUGAAAUCUCACAGGUGUGAACAGGUCUGGAGUCAGCAGCCACCAUGGAUACGCUAAUACUGCUUUUACUGCAUGCAAGCACAUCCAGACUCUCCCUGUCUGAGCGACCUGCCUACAGGCUACUGUGACCGGUUUGCCCUGCCGCGUCUCCCUGGAUCUUCAUCCCUUCAACAAUGGCAGGGGUCGUCAGGGGUGUAGGACCCCAGGGAAACGGCAUCUCGUGCUUCCCUCAAGCACUUCCUGUGCAUGUCACUCCAGAGCCAGGCUCGUGUCUUUGAUCAAAGGCCAAAAACAGGAGAAGACAACAGGGUGACACUGACACGUCUGCACGCUGAAGGAUGUCCUGAACGGGGUGGGGUGAAUUGUGAUUUGGCCUCUCAGAAGCCCCUGCAUCCUCAACCCGGGAACCCUGCGGCAGGGCUGACCAUCACCAUGGCAACUCAAGCCCGGGUCUCAUGGAAAGGAUGGAAGACAAUAGUGGAGAAGUGACAUCUCAUUCAUUUGUGCUGGUCCGGGUCUGCUGUCCACCUCCAUCUCCACAUGAUGACACGAGUUCAGCCACGGAUCCGUGUGCCUCAGUGAGUGACGCGCACUCGUUUCACAUCUGUCCCACACAAACACAUUACAAAUGUAGAUGAUAAAAGUCACAAGUUACAGAUUCACACAGCAAAGAGACGUCAGAUGAGGACAUGUUUAUGCAGUACUCUAGAUGUUCAUCAUUAUCUCUCAUUUAGAAGCACAAAUUAUGUUUUGUUCAACUGUAUUAGAGUUGUAUGUUUUAUGUUUGUUGCUCCAGUGUUUUAUUUUAGCAGAUCAUCAUAAUUCAGCGACUGAGCUCAUUGCAGCAGUAGGUAAUUGCUGACAUUAUUGUAGUAAUUUUGCAGUCAUUAUCUUAAUAUUGUGUUGUUUUUGUUCACAUGUUUGGAUGUUUUCAUGAAUACCUGCUCGCAUGAGAUACUCAAUUAGUGUAGCUUAUUAUCUUUCAUGGAAAUAAAAGUUAUAAGGUGGCUGAUAGUCAGUGUGGAUGUGAUAUAGGCUAAUACAAUGAUAUAAACAUAUAUUUUUUACACGUUUUCUCAAAAUUUAGGGUUGUUAUAGUUAAUUAAAAAUAAAACCAGAAAAUGUGUUACUUGAAACGAAAGCUAAGUACAUAUAUGUAUACUUUAUGUACAUUUUGUAUAUUUUAUUUACUGUAAAUUGAUUUUAUUUCAGCUAGUUGCCAAAGGAAUAUUUUUCAUUUUCAGUUAUUUUAACUAAGUUUAAGUAAAAAUAAUAAAAUGAUAAAGACAUUUUUUUUUUUUUAAAAAAGCUAAUAAAAUUACAAA